CAGUCGCCGCGGUAAUACAGAGGAUGCAAGCGUUAUCCGGAAUUAUUGGGCGUAAAGGGCUCGCAGGCGGCUUCUUAAGUCUGAUGUGAAAGCCCCCGGCUCAACCGGGGAGGGUCAUUGGAAACUGGGAAACUUGAGUGCAGAAGAGGAGAGUGGAAUUCCACGUGUAGCGGUGAAAUGCGUAGAGAUGUGGAGGAACACCAGUGGCGAAGGCGACUCUCUGGUCUGUAACUGACGCUGAGGAGCGAAAGCGUGGGGAGCGAACAGGAUUAGAUACCCGCGUAGUCCCUGUCUCUUAUAC
rnacentral:rRNA from 1 species